GCCUUUAUGGUGUAGUGGUCAGCACGCUCGGCGCGUAUUCGAGAGAUCCGUGCUUCAAGUCCCGGCGAGGGCA
rfam:Stegodyphus mimosarum contig118460, whole genome shotgun sequence.